UACGAGGGGGGCGAGCGUUGUUCGGAAUUAUUGGGCGUAAAGGGUGCGUAGGCGGCCUGACAAGUCUGAUGUGAAAUCCCUGGGCUCAACCCAGGGCCUGCAUCGGAAACUGUCGGGCUUGAGUAUGGGAGAGGUGAGUGGAAUUUCCGGUGGAGCGGUGAAAUGCGUAGAGAUCGGAAAGAACACCAACGGCGAAAGCACUCUGCUGGGCCGACACUGACACUGAGAGACGAAAGCUAGGGGAGCGAAUGGG
rnacentral:rRNA from 1 species